rnacentral:rRNA from 1 species
UACGGAGGGGGCUAGCGUUGUUCGGAAUUACUGGGCGUAAAGCGCGCGUAGGCGGCUUGACAAGUUGGAGGUGAAAGCCCGGAGCUCAACUUCGGAAUUGCCUUCAAGACUGUCUCGCUCGAGGCAGGGAGAGGAGAGCGGAAUACCCAGUGUAGAGGUGAAAUUCGUAGAUAUUGGGUGGAACACCGGUGGCGAAGGCGGCUCUCUGGCCCUGAUCUGACGCUAAGGCGCGAAAGCGUGGGGAGCAAACAGGAUUAGAUACCCUGGUAGUCCACGCCGUAAACUAUGAGUGCUAGAUGUUGGGAGGUUUACUUCUCAGUGUCGCAGCUAACGCAUUAAGCACUCCGCCUGGGGAGUACGGCCGCAAGGUUA